GUGGCGGACGGGUGAGUAACACGUGGGAACGUGCCCUUUGGUACGGAAUAACUCAGGGAAACUUGAGCUAAUACCGUAUGUGCCCUUCGGGGGAAAGAUUUAUCGGCAUUGGAGCGGCCCGCGUCUGAUUAGCUAGUUGGUGAGGUAAUGGCUCACCAAGGCUACGAUCAGUAGCUGGUCUGAGAGGAUGACCAGCCACAUUGGGACUGAGACACGGCCCAAACUCCUACGGGAGGCAGCAGUGGGGAAUCUUGCGCAAUGGGCGAAAGCCUGACGCAGCCAUGCCGCGUGGAUGAUGAAGGUCUUAGGAUUGUAAAAUCCUUUCACCGGGGACGAUAAUGACGGUACCCGGAGAAGAAGCCCCGGCUAACUUCGUGCCAGCAGCCGCGGUAAUACGAAGGGGGCUAGCGUUGCUCGGAAUUACUGGGCGUAAAGGGCGCGUAGGCGGACAUUUAAGUCGGGGGUGAAAUCCCAGGGCUCAACCCUGGAACUGCCUUCGAUACUGGAUGUCUUGAGUGCGGGAGAGGUGUGUGGAACUCCGAGUGUAGAGGUGAAAUUCGUAGAUAUUCGGAAGAACACCAGUGGCGAAGGCGACACACUGGCCCGUUACUGACGCUGAGGCGCGAAAGCGUGGGGAGCAAACAGGAUUAGAUACCCUGGUAGUCCAC
rnacentral:rRNA from 1 species